UACGUAGGGUGCGAGCGUUGUCCGGAAUUAUUGGGCGUAAAGAGCUCGUAGGCGGUGUGUCACGUCGUUCGUGAAAACCUGCAGCUUAACUGUGGGCGUGCGGUCGAUACGGGCAUCACUGGAGUUCGGCAGGGGAGACUGGAAUUCCUGGUGUAGCGGUGAAAUGCGCAGAUAUCAGGAGGAACACCGGUGGCGAAGGCGGGUCUCUGGGCCGAUACUGAC
rnacentral:rRNA from 1 species